GGAUGGUGGAGAACCAGGAGCCCAGGGAGAGAAAGGAGCUACUGGCUUCAUAGAAAAUGCUGAUCUAGAUGUUAGACUCAAAGCUCUACAGGGGCCUCCAGGACCUCCAGGAGCGCAAGGGCCAAA